CACAACGGUUCUGUAUCCGUUUUUCAAUACACCGUGAGUAAUUUCGUACGGGUUACGCGGAUGGUUAUCCGCAGCGUAUAAGAUUUUCGUAGUUUUCGAACACAGUAUCUUCCGUUUAGAAGAAAAAAAAAAACGGAUUUGGCGUGAUACGCGUUCUGGUUUACCCGACAAUCUCGCGUAAAUAUAGGCUUGGCCCGAAAAGCCGAGAAUUCGAAGAAUACGGGAAAAAAAUAAAAACAACCGAUUUCCGGCUUGUUAUUCGCCGCGCGCGUUCGUUCUGUAACGUUCGCCCGGCCGUUAAGACAUCACGCCGAGUAUAGAGAAUGGUUUGGGCGUUUCAUCGCGACAUUCGCUGCACUGUGAAAACGUCUUAGACGGGACAACGUUUCCUAAAUGGCCAGUUAAAAAAUUGGCGAUUUUUCGCUCGUCGGAUCUUCAAAAAUGUAUUGACAAUUAAUGCAGUGCCCGACCCCCGGGCAGUGUUAUGUUUAAAUAAAUUGUCGAUUGCGAUCAAAUUUGCCGACACAAUACAGACGGUUGUUUGCACGAACAAAGGCGCGCCCAGGAAUUUUCGGCGGGAAAGUAUACGCAGCAAAUGGUAAUCGUAAAAUAACCCUUUAUCCGUCCAACUGGAUAAUGAUAAUUUAAAAGAUUUUAACUUAAAAAACCGUUUUUCAAUCAAUAAAUCAACUAAUAACUUGGGUUACAAAAACGUGUACAAACUCGGGUGGAAAAUAAUACUCACAGUCGUGUUUUAAGCCAAUGGUAGAGAUAGCCUCUAAACAAGCAAACAUUACUAAAGUAUUAUAAAUACUCUACAAUAUUACUAAUUUUUUUUUUUUUUAUAUAUACUCUUAAAGGUACACACGAAAUAUAAUAUUAACACAAAUCACAAGAUAAUAAACUAAUCAUUGUUUCUGAACAAUGUAUUGUACAAUUAUAUUAAUACGUACAGUAUCAUUGUU